AUUGAACGCUGGCGGCAGGCCUAACACAUGCAAGUCGAGCGAGCGGCGGACGGGUGAGUAAUGUCUGGGAAACUGCCUGAUGGAGGGGGAUAACUACUGGAAACGGUAGCUAAUACCGCAUACCAUCAGAUGUGCCCAGAUGGUAUUAGCUAGUAGGUGGGGUAACGGCUCACCUAGUCGACGAUCCCUAGCUGGUCUGAGAGGAUGACCAGCCACACUGGAACUGAGACGCGGUCCAGACUCCUACGGGAGGCAGCAGUGGGGAAAAGUUCACAAUGGGAGCAAGCCUGAUGCAGCCAUGCCGCGUGAGUGAAGAAGGCCUUCGGGUUGUAAAGCACUUUCAGCGGGGAGGCGUUACCCGCAGAAGAAGCACCGGCUAACUCCGUGCCAGCAGCCGCGGUAAUUC
rnacentral:rRNA from 1 species